rnacentral:rRNA from 1 species
GACGAACGCUGGCGGCGUGCUUAACACAUGCAAGUCGAACGGAAAGGCCCUGCUUUUGUGGGGUGCUCGAGUGGCGAACGGGUGAUUAACACGUGAGUAACCUGCCCUUGACUUUGGGAUAACUUCAGGAAACUUGGUCUAAUACCGGAUAGGAGCUCCUGCUGCAUGGUGGGGGUUGGAAAGUUUCGGCGGUUGGGGAUGGACUCGCGGCUUAUCAGCUUGUUGGUGGGGUAGUGGUUUACCAAGGCUUUGACGGGUAGCCGGCCUGGGAGGGUGACCGGCGACAAGGCGACUGAGAGAGGGCCCAGACUCGUACGGGAGGCAGCAGGGGGGAAUAUGGCACAAUGGGCGGAAGCCUGAGGCAGCAACGCCGCGUGCGGGAUGACGGCCUGCGGGUUGUAAACCGCUUUCGCCUGUGACGAAGCGUGAGUGACGGUAAUGGGUAAAGAAGCACCGGCUAACUACGUG